rnacentral:misc_RNA from 1 species
AGGAAGGUGCCUUGUUAAACUAUUCUAAUGCUGUUUUUUAUUUGAAACAGGCAAGUUUAUCAUGAUGGCUUGCAAAAUGGUAUAGAAACGCGCCAUUCAGUGUCUCUCUGCUUGCUAUUUUGCCCCAUUGGGAUUGUUAUUCAUCUCCUCACCAAAGCUGUACUACUAAGUAGUGCAGAAAAAACAGUGUUUAGAACUAAC